rnacentral:lncRNA from 1 species
AUGAGGAUCACAUACAUCACAUAUUUAUGGGCCAAAGGCACAGUGUUAAGUGUUAAGACUAUCCGAAGAUGUAAAGGUACAAUUCUCACUGCCAAAGAACUUUUCUUCUGCAAGGUAAGUAGGAUUCACAAGGACAAUCAGUUGGAGAAAUACCAUGGGGCAAAUAGACCAGGAUUCAGUGCAGGCUUCAUGGGGACAUAAUUCCCAAAUUAAAGGAUAUAAGAAACUUCAGUGUAGCCAAGAUAAAUAAGAGAAUUAUGCACCCAGAGAAGAGACCAUAAGAGAACACAGUGCAUUUAUAUAACAGCAGAUUGUUCUUUAUGAAGAGAAAUGGUGGGUGGUAAGUUGAACGUGGACAGAGAGAGACUAGAAUGUGAAGGGCCUCACCUGUUUUGUGUGUUAAAAUAGGAGCAAUUAUAUUUAUUGCAGUUAAAACCUGGAUUAUUUCUCUGUGUACAUAGUGCAAGGCGAUUUGCCAAGCUUUUGCUGGCUGUUCCCGACUUCACCGUUUUCUUUAUAGAUGCAGAGAGAAUCUAGGCAAGUGUAAAUGUUGCCAAGUCACGUGAGAGAAGGCAACCACUAGGUGACAGAGCUGUACCAUGUUCUGUGGUCGGGACCAAAAAGCUUAUCUCUUGACACCAUCAUCCUCUUACUCAGAGUAAGUUGGCUGCAGAAUGGUGGUAGAAAUCUAGGAUUGUCUAGAAGCUUUGUUGAAGAAUAACCAGCAAAUUCAAGGGAGCACUUAUGACUGCACACAACCGGGCCUCCAGCUCUCCCAUCUUUCAGUCAUUGCAGUGGACGUUGCAUGGAAAUACAUAUUAAAUUAUCUCUUUGAUUGAAAACAUAAUCAAGGCUCAUACAUCAACAGACAUGCACCAUAUUUUAAUGUAAUCACCUCAUAACUAAGUGGAGUGCAAGAAUAAAACAAAAUGUCAAUCUAUAUAUUUUUUUUUUUUUGUAAAAUUGUCCUGCUAUCAACAUAGAAUAAAUCCAUUACCAGAUGGUUCACCAGUACAGCAGAAAACAUGGGGUCUAAUGGUGUUCUGUUAGCAAACUCUUGUAAUUGAUUUAUUUUCUAAGCUACCAACUGUCUUGUUACUGUGUGUUUUUAGUUAUUCUUUCAGUAGAUACAUUUUAACUGCUUUUUGUUGUUGUUUCUGUUUUAAAAAGUCUGCAGUCAAUGUUUCAGAAUUCUACAGCAUUUUAAGAUCUGCGAUUUAGAAUGGAAAAGUUGCGAACAGGUUGAUAAUAAUAGAUAUUUCAAAGUUUCACUUCAAUAUAAUGUAAAUGUAUGUUUAAAUUAGGCAACCUCUAUGUUUAGUCACAAAAGUUCUGCAUAUUUUGAUAAUCUUUUAGAUAGUAGUGCAUUGAUUAAAUUAAUUCAUUAUGUCUGUUAAUCAAAUUAUUAAUUUGAUUAAUUGAGCCUAAAUAAGUUCCCUCAGUGAUACAGUCAUUAUCUUAGCCUGAUUUUAUGUUAACUGCUCAAUGUGGAGGUAAUUAAUACCCUGAAGAGAUGAUUAAUAUCCUGUUGCCCCAGGAAAUAUUUUAAAAUGUUUUAGAUCUAAAAUACAGAAAAUGUAGGACUCUUUUACAGGCAUUUCCAGUACAGGAAGAGGAUUAAGAGAAUGACAUUUUAUUUUGCACGUCUGUAUUGGCAUAAAGGUUAGAGACUUUCAAGUAGUUCUAAGUAAGAAAUAAACUUAUGUGUCAAUAUUUUAAAUUUAGAUUUUAGUUUUUGGCCAUAAAAUCUGCAAAAACUGUAUUUCAAUUAGACUUUUAUAUAUGGAAAGACUCAGACUCUCUCCAAAAUGAGUUAAUCUGUAGAAACUAUUCAAAGUACACACACACACACACACACACACAACCCAUUAUAAGUAUAAUAACCCCAAUGUCUUUAUGACCAACAAGCAAAUAACAAUGUGAACUUUCAAAUUACACAUUACUAAAAGAACUAG